rnacentral:rRNA from 1 species
UGGGGAAUAUUGCACAAUGGGCGCAAGCCUGAUGCAGCCAUGCCGCGUGUAUGAAGAAGGCCUUCGGGUUGUAAAGUACUUUCAGCGGGGAGGAAGGUGUUGUGGUUAAUAACCACAGCAAUUGACGUUACCCGCAGAAGAAGCACCGGCUAACUCCGUGCCAGCAGCCGCGGUAAUACGGAGGGUGCAAGCGUUAAUCGGAAUUACUGGGCGUAAAGCGCACGCAGGCGGUCUGUCAAGUCGGAUGUGAAAUCCCCGGGCUCAACCUGGGAACUGCAUUCGAAACUGGCAGGCUAGAGUCUUGUAGAGGGGGGUAGAAUUCCAGGUGUAGCGGUGAAAUGCGUAGAGAUCUGGAGGAAUACCGGUGGCGAAGGCGGCCCCCUGGACAAAAACUGACGCUCAGGUGCGAAAGCGUGGGGGAGCAAACAGGAUUAGAUACCCUGGUAGUCCACGCCGUAAACGAUGUCGACUUGGAGGUUGUGCCCUUGAGGCGUGGCUUCCGGAGCUAACGCGUUAAGUCGACCGCCUGGGGAGUACGGCCGCAAGGUUA